GGAAACUCUGACCGAGUCACGCCGCGUGAAUGACGAAGUACUUCGGUAUGUAAAGUUCUUUUAUCAAGGAAGAAUGACUCGUGGAAAAGCGAGAGUGACGGUACUUGAUGAAUAAGCCCCGGCUAACUAUGUGCCAGCAGCCGCGGUAAUAC
rnacentral:rRNA from 1 species